AAGACUGGGAUCAAACCUGUUGAUAUCAUCAACAUGUAGCUUUAUUAUUAUGUGUAAAUAAAGUACUUAAAUAAUGGCGAUCCUGCAAAAAACUUAAAAAUUUAAAUUUACGUGGAAGCCGAGUGGAAACACUACACAAAUUUUAACAUGAAAAUUGAAAGGUUUAGAUCGAAGGGUUAGGAAAGAACUAGGGAAGUAGGCAGGAGUAGUUAGCGGUCACUAAACUAGAAGCCAAGGAAUGAGAAAUUGACCAUGGAAAAUGGAAGCUGCAUCAUCAUCUCGAGCGACAGCGUCAUCGACUUCGAGUGAGUGUUGUGUUAGUGAAAUAGUGAAAUGGAAAAAAUUAAACUGCGUAAUGGAAGAAAAUUUGCAAUGAACGCAGAAAACAUUCCUUCCUUGGUGCAAGCCUCGACACCAUAACGAACUCAAUAGCGAAA